CGCCCGGCCUUUUUGAGAUUUUUAUUUCUCUUUAUUUGGAUGUUGUGGUAGGUUUGAAUAUGUUAGGCCCAGGGAGUGGCACUGUUAGGAGGUGUGACCUUGUUGGAGUAGGUGUGGCCUUGUUAUGUCAUUAUGGGGGUGAACUUUGAGAUCCUCUUUCUAGUUGCCUGGAAACAGUCUGCUCUUGGCUUCCUUUGGAUGAAGAUGUAGAACUCUUGGGUCCUCCUGCACCAUGUCUGCCUGGAGGCUGCUGUGUUUCCUGCCAUGAUGAUGAUGGACUGAAGCGCUCUGAAACUGUUUCAAGUCCCCCUUCCAGUGGACUGUAUUGCUUCAGAAUAGAUACCAAGAAGUAAGGGUUGAAGGAAGAGCAAUAUAUGUGCUUAGAACUUCAGCUUGGGUUUAGACAUGUUUCAGUAGUUCCUAAAAGUUGGAUUGAAGGAUGACAGAAGCCAUCUUGAUACUCAAUAUUUUUUCCCUAAAUAAAUCAUGACUUUGAGUUAGGGAACAAAGAGAGAAUAAUGUAUUUUCUUAAUUAUUGACUCAUGUGAUGUGGCCUAAUAGAGUCAUAUCUAAUUACGGAAAACCCCACAACUUCAAUGUAGUAGCUGAAGAAGAUUCCAAGGAUACUUGGUACACUGAGCCUAAGGACACAAGUGCUGCUGCCUAAGCUCAUGUGUGGACAUUACAGAAUGGGAAAAUGACACUUCUCUGACAAUCUGGAAUAUGAUAUUGGAUGACAGUACCUUUAGUAGCCCUGCAGUAAUCUCAUGGUAGGUACCAGCAAUGUGGCAAGAGCUAGAAAUUGAAGGGAGCAAAGUUGUUGGGCAAAGCAGGAGGAGAAAAAUGUCAUACAUUGUAAGUGUCAUUGCAGAAGAUAAAAAUAUCAUGGACACAUGAGUAUGUCUAAUAUCCUCACUGGAAUGCUAUAUAUGUGUUCAGUAUGUCUAAGAAUCAAAGCAAAACAUAGCAAUCAUCUGUUUGGGAGAGAUUAUCAAUGCCAUCCCACUGAUGGUAUGAGAAGUCAUGUCUUCGGCAGUCAGCUGGCUGAAAUUAAAGGCCACAUCACCAAAAUGAGAAAAUUUGAUGAAAAUGAUGGUAUAAUACCUGAGGCAAAACCACUCCCCCUAAUUACGUCAACAUGCCAGUCCAAUCAG